rnacentral:rRNA from 1 species
UACGUAGGGUGCAAGCGUUAAUCGGAAUUACUGGGCGUAAAGCGUGCGCAGGCGGUUAUGCAAGUCAGGUGUGAAAUCCCCGGGCUUAACCUGGGAACUGCAUUUGUGACUGCAUAGCUAGAGUACGGUAGAGGGGGAUGGAAUUCCGCGUGUAGCAGUGAAAUGCGUAGAUAUGCGGAGGAACACCGAUGGCGAAGGCAGUCCCCUGGACCUGUACUGACGCUCAUGCACGAAAGCGUGGGGAGCAAACAGG